rnacentral:miRNA from 1 species
UGAGACCAGCUGAGCAAUGCU